CAAUCUCGAUAUUGUUGGAAUUGGUCUCGAAGAAGUUAUUGCCCGUGAAAGUGGUAGCCCUUUAAUUGCUUCCUAUCAAUUAGUUCCAAGAAAGCGGCCGUGGUCUAACUAGAAUUUCAUUCCAAUCUCGAUAUUGUUGGAAUUGGUCUCGAAAAGGCGAUUGCCCGCGAAAGCCGUAGCCCUUUAAUUGCUUAGGGGAAUCGGCCUUCUUUAGUCAAAGCUUUUUCUUGCUUAAUGCUUUCCUAUCUCGAGUGAUUUCCCGUGAUCCACCUAUGAGAUCGUUUGCACCGGCUUUGGAUUCAAGAAGAUCGGCCAUAGAAUAAGGAAUGGGAAGAGAGCGAGAGACUCUCGAUUCGCUGCUCUACAUUUCGAGAAAGUGGAAUAAGAAAGGCCGUAGUACCCUAGGCCCGACAGAAUAAUGAGAAGAAAGAGGCCGAUUGGAGAAGUUUUGUUUGAGAGGCUAAGGGACUAGACCCAUCAAAAAGCAAAAAGAAAAUGCGUGACUAAGAAAGGUAACCCUAGAACAAGUUGUCAAAAGACUUGACCCCUGAAGAACUGACCCAAGCAAGGACAUUCCGGAAGUUGGUCGGUCAAGACGGGCACUUUCCCUUCGCUCCUUUCGACCUGAUCUCCCACAAAAACCAAUACAAAGAAGGUGGAAGUGGGGAGGAGAGGAAAAUGGAUUCAUUCAAAGAUGAGCCCUUGCCUAUACCAACCAUAAAGAGUUGUGAAAUCGAUAUAAAGAAGGAGGCCAAGGGAAUUUCGACUUUUUUCAUUGAAUAAUAGAAGGGGAAUAGGGAUUGGACCGAUAGGCUCGUUUUGGACCCGAGGACCUAAGCUUUGCUAAAGCCGUGAAAAGGAGUGGACGGUUGUAUUUUGGCCUAGUUGGACUGGUUCGCCUAAUCGAAGAGCCCCUACCUUACUUGUUCACCGUACUAGACCUCCAUAUCAUAUGUGUAAAGAGCCCACCUCGGAUACGAAAGAAGGACAGGAGUGGUUCCACUAGCCGAUGCUUAAGCGUCAGCCCUUGCCUCCUCUUCCCCAUAAACCUCAUCUGCACCUGAAGAAGAGUAAUCUUUUGCCGAAUCUACAUCCGCCGAAGCCUAUAAAUGUGAAAUAUUUAGUUCCAUCCGGAAUGAAUUUCCCACCUAUCUCUCACUGAACACCAACAGAAUCGUAAGCUUUCUUCUCCGCCUUAGCUUGAGAGCUCCUUUCUACAUCAAGAUCUAGAUCUUCCCCAAGGUAGGUAGGUUUAUCCUCACUCGAUCGGCUUCGGCUAUGGUGUGAUUCUUGGCAUAUGUACACCACAGUAGCUAAGGCAACCCCGUUCCAGCUCGCAUUGUAUUUGAAGUUGAGGAUUUCGCUUCUGAUGUAGUCAGUGAGAAGCUAAGUUCCGUUUUUAGCUUUAGCAAGCCUGUGACUGCCUGAACAGACUAGUCUACGCUCAGCCAACAUUCCGAACUUGUCUCGAUACUGACAGUUCAGUGGAUGGGAUAGCAGAGAGAGAAAGGAAAAGAAGUAGUUCCGAAAGGAGACUCCACCUAGCUAGUGCGCUCCUCACCUCAAUGCUACACUUCGGCAGCUACGAACU
rnacentral:lncRNA from 1 species